CCCGAUUCAUUUUCCUCCCCCACUCGACAACCCCUCCGCCCGAAACCCUUCUCCGGCGAUUCCUCUUCGCCCGAUCGUCGGCCGCCGCAAGUUCACUGUCGGUGAAUGUCUUCUCCUUCAGCGUGCCUCAGUCGACCCUUCCUCCGAUCUUACCCGGUUGUUGCCUCUCCUUCUCUUUUGAUCUCUCUCUCGGACGGCCCGACGCCGACGGGGAUGUUUCUUCCACCGCGAUCUCACCUUCACACGUCGUCGGAGAGAAUGUGGCUCGAAUCUUGACGGUAACUGUCAUCUUCGGCUGUGCGAUUUCAUCUUCAACAGUUUCUUGCUCGCGAUCGGUUGUUGCUUAGCGGCUAGGGCACGGCGAGGCUAGGGCUCGGUGACAGAGGGGAGAUUCGAGCCCUAGUUUCCUAUUAUGGGCAUCUAACACCUCCUCGUCGUUGGAGCUUUAGAUCAAGGAGGUCCAAGUUCACUGGAUUCCGUUUUCUCUUGCUUGUCGGCGUUGAUUAGCUGCUGAUCCUGAGUGUGACGGGCUGCCGACACAAAAUUGGAGUAAGAAUAGAGAAAGGCAUGGAUUGUGGACUUUCCCUAUUGCCAUUCACUGUCUCUUCACUUCUAGUAGCUGUGGAGGUCUCGGUUGAAGAGGUGAGGAUCAAUUUAGGACUUGGAUUCGGGACGAGCGUCUCGACGUGAGAUUUCCGGACACGAUCUAAGUAUUAAGGCGGGUAGAUGGUUGGAGUGUCGCUCGGAGUAUCCUGUCUGCCGAGUCCUACGUCACAUCCGACGAUGGUUUCGGGUUUUGGUAUAUCUUUAUUUGUAUUCGAUAUUUGUUGUAUUUAGUGUGUUGAUGUAUUUGUUGUUGUGGUUGUUGUAUAAAGCCUAGCCGGCUAGCAGUGUCUUGAUGUGUUUUGUAUGGGCUUGUCUUAUCGUUUUUCC